AUGUAUGUGGAUGUUCCCGGGGGCUGAGGGUACUCCUGAGUAGCUGGGACUACAGGCGCCUGCCACCACACCUGGCUAAUUUUUUGUAUUUUUAGUAGAGACAGGGUUUCACCGUGUUAGCCAGGAUGGUCUCGAUCUCCUGACCUCGUGAUCCGCCCGCCUCGGCCUCCCAAAGUGCUGGGAUUACAGGCGUGAGCCACCGCACCCGGCUGAUGCCUGCCCUUCUUAAGGGGUGAUUUGACUCACUCAGUUAAAAUGAACAUAAACCCAGAUGAAUUUCAGAUGGGCCAAGCCAAGCGCCUGGCAGGAUUUCUGGUGGUUUACCGGGAUUGGUCAUCUCCGUGAGACUGGCCUAGGGGUUGUACCUUCAGACAUUUCCACUGAUGUAGAUGAGGAAGGAGGGGGCUCCUGGGCCAGGUCGUGGAGAAAGCCUUUGAUUGUCGCAGAUCCACAGAUAGCUAGUUAGGCUGGUCAGGACAUGAAGGACCUCGUAAAGGGUUUACAAUCCAGAAUCCAUGUGUGGGCUUGGGGGAAAUCGGAACAUUCCGAAAUUAUAGAAAGAGCUGUAUUGUGAAUAUUCAUUUUGGGAAUAGGUUUCUCAGAGUGGCCUCCUGCCAUCCAAAGGGUUAAGCACUGAUUUUUUUUUUUAAUCCCCUAAACUUACAGGAGAGAAUGCAAAGGCCUUUGUCCCACGGAAAAGUGCAGAGCUGGGCCUGUCUCCUAGACCCCUUGUCCAAAAUGCUUCCCAAUCCUUUCCUGCUGCCUUUUAAACUGACUAUAGAAUUUACUCUUUUACAUCUUUUCUGGAUCAUUUCAAGGUCAGAAGGACUGUGUAAGGAGAUAAGUACACAAUCAGAUGGGGCCAAAGAGGAACAAAUGAUUCAUGGAACAUCCCCAGGGUCAUAUCACUGUCCGAUUGGGAUAGAAGGAGUGUGUGUCUUGUAAGAAAUCCUCUCUGACUACCGUCCCACGCCAGACACAUUUUUCCUAAGUAACGAAUCUCAGGAGAGCCCCUGACAGCUACCUGAAGUCCAGCCUUUUUUAUUUUCUCUAUUCUUAGUCAGGGGCAGAGCCAUAAUCUUUAGUCGUUGGUAAAGUCAGGGGUUAGUUAUAAAUUUAUUCAACUGCUUCACCUUGCAAAAUUAGAAAACAAUAUAGUAAUUCCACUGA
rnacentral:lncRNA from 10 species